rnacentral:lncRNA from 1 species
CUUUUUUCAUGCACUGUGGAAGGUUGUCAGAUGCCUCUUUGAAGUUAACUAAUGAUCGUGCGAGCAAAGAGUCUGCAGUGGGAGCCAGGUCUCUGGCGUUGUAGCAGCACAGCUUCCACAUGCUGGCGCUCUUCCGUUACCUUGUGGGAUUUUUUCAGGACAGCACUGGAAAGCAAGGGGGGAAGUGGAAGAAUGGAAGUGAUCAGCUUGCAGCUCGGCACCACUGUAAAGUGUUGCACAUUGCACGUGUCCCUUCUGAAAGGUUUGUUUUUGUUUUGUUAAGAUGUUUAGUUAUAUGCUCUAAAUUUGAGCAGAGGAAGAAGAGUCUGGUAGGAUCUGAGGGGUUUCCUCAUCCUCAAGCAUUUAUUUUACUCCAUUUCAUCCAAAGAGGGCUCUCUCUGGAACCCCAGCAGAGAGGAGACUUCAGUGGCAUGAUGCAAAGUUCCUUGAAAACGUGUGCUGAAUCUCCUGUGGGAAGACAAAACAUUUGCCCUGUUUCUCUGCUGAGUAGAAGGGUUAUGCUGAGCUCUGCUCCUGUGGACUCCAAGAAGAGCAUGAGAAGAAACUGCAUGGAGGCCCCAAGUUUCUGGGUAUGCUUCCUGAAGAUUAAUGCAGAUCUGGGGAAGCUGAAGAGUUAUGGGCCCAAGGCUCUCCUUUUUCCAGAAGGAAGGAAACAUUGUUUCUCUAUACAGAAAUAUGCAGAAAUUCACAGGGGGAAUCCUAGAGGUUUGUUCUUGGAUUUCAUUCUUUUAUUUUUUUCCAAAAAAAAAACCAUUUUUUUUCCUUUGAAUUCUUUCUGCGUGGACAUGUAUGACAACUUACAUAAUUUAGAACAGCACCUAAAUUGAUAUUUCAACUCAAGAGAUCAGACUGCGUACACAAAUCGCUUUUUAGCACAUAGCCAGGUUGGUCCUCACCAUCCAGAAGGCCAAGGCUCAUCCAAACUCGUAGUCACACCCCAUGUGUACUUCUACGCAAAAGGUAGUGAGUCCAGGGGAACGGCAGCCAAUAUAAUGGGAUGGUGAGAAGUGGGCCUCAGGCUCUGGAAAAAGGAACCACUCUGGCUUCUUUUGAUGGCUGGGCAGGUGAGUGAAGGGCCAACAUUUUCUUUGGGAGGAUGAGAGAACUUAAAAGAUUACUUUAGAGAAAAAGACAUGAAAAUCAGCAGAGUAUCUCUGGUGCUGUUGUGCAUGGAGUAAAGGUUGUGGUUAUCCUGGCACGGAGUCUGGGUGCCACCUCUGGGGUGCUGUCAGCAGGCUUGGGGGCAGCUCACUGAUGGUUGGAGCCACUAAGGAGGCUUUGAGUGUGUGUGUGUGUGUGCAUGUGAUACGGUACAGUUCAUAAAGCUGGGGGAUAAAUGAUGAAUGCUGUUGGAAGAAGGGGGCUGUUGAACUGCCAUCGCUUGUCUGUAGGGCAUGGACUAUUCCCUUAACAACCAAGAUAGAAAUGGUCAGAGGUCUGGCAGUGUCUGCUGGCACCUGCAGCGAGAGUUAUGCGGGCCUCUCUUUCUGGGCUCAGGCACAAUUACUGAUGGCGUAACACAGAAUUGGGGUGCAUGAAGGGUUUUUGGCUGUGACUCUUGUGUUUUGCGUGUUCUGGGGAAAAUCUUUGCUUUCAGGUUUGCUUUUUACCUGGGGGGAUUUUUUCAUUUUUUUACACGCUUAGCAUCUUUUAAAAAUCUGCCUGUUCACGGUGUACUUUGCAUCCUUGCUGUUGGCUCAGUGCUGAUCCCGAAUGCCAGGAACAAAGACAUUAAAUGUUAUAUUUGCUAAACAAAGCUGACACAUUCCUACUUUCACACAAGGAAGUAGCGGCACUCCCAAUGC